rnacentral:rRNA from 1 species
AUUGAACGCUGGCGGCAUGCCUUACACAUGCAAGUCGAACGGUAACAGGUUAAGCUGACGAGUGGCGAACGGGUGAGUAAUACAUCGGAACGUGCCCAGACGUGGGGGAUAGCUCGGCGAAAGCCGGAUUAAUACCGCAUAAGCUCUGAGGAGGAAAGCGGGGGACCGUAAGGCCUCGCGCGUUUGGAGCGGCCGAUGGCAGAUUAGGUAGUUGGUGGGGUAAAGGCUUACCAAGCCUACGAUCUGUAGCUGGUCUGAGAGGACGACCAGCCACACUGGGACUGAGACACGGCCCAGACUCCUACGGGAGGCAGCAGUGGGGAAUUUUGGACAAUGGGCGCAAGCCUGAUCCAGCAAUGCCGCGUGCAGGAUGAAGGCCUUCGGGUUGUAAACUGCUUUUGUACGGAACGAAAAGGCGCCUACUAAUACUGGGUGUUGAUGACGGUACCGUAAGAAUAAGCACCGGCUAACUACGUGCCAGCCGCCGCCGUAACAC